rnacentral:rRNA from 1 species
UACGAAGGGGGCUAGCGUUGUUCGGAAUUACAGGGCGUAAAGCGCGUGUAGGCGGGUUUUUAAGUGAGGGGUGAAAUGCCAAGGCUCAACCUUGGAACUGCCUUUGAUACUGGGGACCUUGAGUCCGGGAGAGGUGAGUGGAAUUGCGAGUGUAGAGGUGAAAUUCGUAGAUAUUCGCAAGAACACCAGUGGCGAAGGCGGCUCACUGGCCCGGUACUGACGCUGAGGUGCGAAAGCGUGGGGAGCAAACAGG